UCCCCGUGUGGGCCCAUUACAAGUUGAACUCGGUGAUGUUUGUGGGUCCAUUCCAACUCAGAAUAUUCUGUGUUCUGUGACCCGCUGUGGUCCCUUCCAACCUUACCCAGUCCGUGGCUAUGUGAGUCUGUGAUAACCUCUUUCAAGGAAAUAAUUGGAAUUUACUUUAAAAUGGCCACAGGGUUUGAGUGCCCAUCAGUCACUGUGUAUAUUUAAUUUAACAUAAAUCUUAAAUCAUGGGAUUAUGGCAUGGGAAAGGUUGGAAAGCAUCAAAGUGGGGUCAUCUGGUCCAACCUCCCUGCUCAAGCAGGAUCAUCCCAGAGCACAGGAUUGUGUCCAGACGAAUCUGGAGUAUCUCCAGUGAAAGAGACUCCACACCCUUUCUGUGCAAUUGUGGAACUCCCUGGGCAUCAGUUCCUGCCUGUUCCUCUUGUCCCAUUGCUGGGCACACCUGUGAGCAGAGCCUGGUGCCUGCUCUGAGCCCUCCCUGCAGACACUGACAGAGGGAUGAGUUCCCUUCUCAGUCGUGUCUUCUCGAGGCUGAACAGCCCCAGCUCCCUCAACUUUUCCUCAUAAAAGAGAUGUUCCAGUCCAUCAUCUCUGCUGAGCCCACUCCAGGAGCUCCAUGUCUUGUUCUGAGGAUCCCAGAGCCGGACAUUUCAGAUGAAAUGUGGGAGCUGGCCUCUUCUCCCCAGCAACCAGUGACAGGACAAAAGGAAAUGGCCUCAAGCUGCACCAAGAGAGGUUCAUGAUGGACACUAGGAAGAAUUUUUUCAUGGGAAGGGUUGUCAAGCAUUGGAACAGGCUGCCCAGGGAGGUUCCAGGAGUCAACAUCCCUGGAGGUGUUCCACAAAUGACUGGACAUGGCACUCUGUGCUGUGGUUUAGUUGACGUGGUUGUGUUUGCUCAAAGCCUGGGCUUGGUGAUUUUGGAGGUCUCUUCCAGCCCUAAUGAUUCUGUGAUUCUGGGAAAGAGCCACUUUAAAUAUCUCUGUUAAUCUUUCCCUUAUCUCUUGUGAACAGCUGAACUCAGUUUUUGCUCUCCUGCCUGUCCCAGGUAGCUGGAGCUUGAGCAGAUCCCAGAUUUCCACCUCUGGAAGUUACUGCGUGUCUAGAAACCGGAGGCAGGGCCACAGAAUCCGAGAAUAUCCUGAGUUGGAUGGGACUCACAAGGGCCAUCAAAUCCAGCUUCUGGACUGCAUCUACCAAGGGUUGAUAGAGAACUACUCAAUAUAAACAAUGCUAUUUGGAAUGUGAAUUUCACUGAUAAAAUCUGGGCAGUUUACUUCAGGGUAAGACAAGUCCCACUCUUAAACUUACCUACAUUUAUUAGUUUACCAGGCACCAUAAGGAAACUCAAGGGGGACGUGGAACAAGUAAAGACCUGGAUUGUAAAUGCAGUUUUUCAGGUGAAUCCCAUGUGAAACAUCCCAAUCCCUUCCAGGAGCCAAUUCAUUAGUCUUUUUCUGUUCAUCUGUGCUACCUACAAAUUUCUUUGUCAGUUUGAAGCCAAUCCCCCUUGUUCCUCUUAGUACAUGCCCUUGGAAAAAGCCCCUCUACAUCUCUCAGGGGUGAUUGUCCCUGUCCUCUUCCUGUUUCAGAGAAAAUCCUCCUGCAUUACACUUCCCUCUUGGUUGAAAGAGUUACCCUAGGUAUAGGUGGGAUGCUGCUGAGCUGUGUGAGUCCAUUUUACAAUGGCUGCAAAGAGUCCCUGCUGUCCACAUGAAAUCAUUACUUGGGAACCACUGAAACAGUGACCUCAUAAAUUUAAGUCAGCCAGGACGUAGAAAGAUUUCUCUCAUUCCUCUGAUUUGUUCAUCCUGUGCUGCUUUGACAGCUGGAAUAAAAAUGGAAUAAAAGAGCAUUGUGAUUUUCUUGAGCUCUUUAGUUACCUAAUUAAAAAUUGAUCAUUUUUUCUCUUUAGGAUUCUCUAGAAAAAGGAUACUGCUCUUGCAGUCAAAGUUUUUCAAGAGAGUCUCUGGACCACAUAAAGUAUGGAACUAAAACCAUAUCAGAAUUUUGGAAGAAAGGACUAAGGAAGGAGCUAAUGACACUCCUAGAGGAAAAGAAGAUCAAAUUUCUUUUUUGGUGCUUAAUUUUAUCUGAACCAAAUCCUUCACUGCGUAGUGUGGCCACAGAAUUGAGCAGAGUUCAUCCCAACUGAGGAUCAAGUCUUUAAUCUUCUGCUUUUAUUGAUAUUUAUUAUUUAUUUUACAAUAAGUGCCACAAUUUAGCAUUCAUAAUUAUUUUUAUGCAAGGAAAUACUCGGGACUGGGGAUGUAUCCUUUUAAAAGCUUGGCAGCACGUGGAUUGGGUCAUCCUGAAUGUUGGGACUAAAGGAAAGCUCAUAAAUCAUCAGUGCAGUGUCCUGCUGCCACCAACCACCUGAUGGCAUGAGCCUGACCCUGAACUGGAAUUCAAACAUAAACCAGUCUGUCUGUGGUGCUGUGUUUGCCUUUUCCCUCAGGUUAAACAAUUCUUUUCUUCCCUUUCUCGUCCCUUCUCCUGUUCCUGCCCUCCUUGGAUAGAGCCAGGGUAAUUAGCUGUGGCAGAUACAUUUUGCACUCUUGGGGUUCUCAGGCCUGCAGUUUCCUAAUGGCACAGUCCUUUGGGACAGAGUUUGGGAAUGUUAAAUCCGCUAAAACAAUAAUCAAUUAAAGUGAUCUCAUUUCUGGCUUUUCACUCCAGCCCUGUGCACUGUAACAGUGUCAGUAAAGAUGCUUGAGGGACUGGGUUGGGAAUGGGGCUAUGGAGCCUGAAUGGCAAAAAAAAUAAUAUUGGUUUCUUGACCUUAUAUAAUUGUUAAAUAUAAUUAAAAGUUGGAAGGUAAGUACCCGCAAGUGUGCAUAUCAGUUGUGUAAACCAGAAGGGAGGAGAAAACCCUUCAGGUUUACUUCCAUUUAUUUAGUUUUUUUCUUACUCUUGGUUAAAGGAGUAACCAUGAACUGUUUUCUAACAAAAUUAAGGAAUGCACACAGAACCAUAGAUUCACAGAAUGCCUUGGUUUAGAAGGGACCUUCAAGAACAUCCAGAUCCAAAUCCCUUGCCAGGGACAGGGACAGCCAGCAUUAAACCAGGUUGCUCAAAGUCCCAUCCAACCUGGCCUUGAACACUUCCAGGGCUGGGGCAGCCACAACUUCUCUGUGCAACUUCUUUCAGUGUCUCAGCACUCUCAGAGUAAAGAAUUUCUUCCCAAUAUCCAAUCUAAACUGCCCUCUUUCAAUCUGGAGCUAUUCCUUCUUAUCCUGUCACUCUCUGCACUUGUAAAUAAUCUCUCUCCAUCUUUCCAGCAGGCUCCUUCAUGUACUGGAAAGGCCAGAAUUAGGCCACCCCAAAGUCUUCUCCAGGCUGAACAAUCCCCAUUCUCUCAGCCUUUCCUCCCAGCAGAGCUGCUCCAUCCCUCUGAUCAUCCUGGUGCCUCCUCUGGACUGGCUCCAGCAGCUCCAUGUCCUUCCUGUGCUGGGCCCCAGGGCUGGAGCAGCUCUGCAGGUGGGGUCUGACCAGAGCAGAGGGGCAGAAUCCCCUCCCUCACUCAGGCCAUGCUGCUUUUGAUGCAGCCCAGGACAUGAUUUGCUUUCUGGGCCAUAUUCACAUUCCUGAUGCCUUUCUUCAUGCCUAAAAGAAAAAGCCACACUCAGAUCUUUGUGUCCAGAAUGCAGCAAGGACAAUUGCACACAGGCAAUUGAGGCUGUUAGAGUCAUUUCCAGAAAGACUUUUUCAGUGCUGCUACCUGCAUGUUUUAAUAACACCUGCACCACUGUGAUGUGUCAUCUGAAGAGCUCAAAGCACAUUAUAGGUUCAGGUUUAGCUAAUGGGUAGCAGCCACUGAAAGAAGGAAGGAUUCCCAUCUGCAGGCACAUCAGGAGGUACCUGAAUGGAUUAAACGUCUCUCUCAAGGUCAAACAAAGAGUUGGUGGCAAAACUGGAGAACACUGAGAGGUGAAUUAAUAUGUCCUGAUGGCAGCCAGCUGCCUUGCUGCAGCUGUGCUCAGAACAUUGAUCUGAUUCUUGUGGAUACGAGGGAACUUCUCUAGACAAAGGAUCUCACAUAAAAUCAAAUAAUUUAUCAGCCCUCGAGAGGAGCAAACUGUGAAGUGUUAGGCUGUCACCUCUGUAAUGCAGGCAGCAAUUGCUAGGCAUUAAAGUGGUCAUGUUUUCCCUCUCCCUCCUUGAUGCAUGUUUCCAUAAAGCCUUGGUCCUGAGGAAAAAGUAUUUACCAGACUCUUAGCUAGGUAAGCACAUAUUCUGGUCACAGAGUGCUUCAGCCUGCAAACCCUUCACUGCUCAUGCUCUUUUAAAAUGCAAUAUUCAAGGACUUUGCAUUUUGACUUGCUAGUCAUGUUUCUGGAAGCAGAAGCACCUAAAUUAUAACUCAGUCCCCAAAGGCCUGAAAAGAAAUGCACAGCUUCAAUUCUCACAGCACAAAUGGUGUAAAAGGUGGCUUCAGAAGCAACCUACAAACCUGGAAAACUAAGGGUAAAUUAAAAACCACUGAGUUAAAAAACUUCAGACAAUGUUCUUAAGAUAUUCUUUAACAUUUGAACAA